rnacentral:rRNA from 1 species
UACGUAGGAGGCAAGCGUUGUCCGGAAUUACUGGGCGUAAAGCGCGUGUAGGUGGUGGGACAAGUCUGCUGUGAAAGCGCCUGGCUUAACCGGGCGAGGUCGGCGGAAACUGUCCGACUCGAGGACGGUAGAGGGGGGUGGAAUUCCCGGUGUAGUGGUGAAAUGCGUAGAGAUCGGGAGGAACACCUGUGGCGAAGGCGGCCCCCUGGGCCGGCCCUGACACUGAGACGCGAAAGCUAGGGGAGCAAACAGG